AUUGAACGCUGGCGGUAUGCUUAACACAUGCAAGUCGAACGGCAGCAUAAGAGAGCUUGCUCUCUUGAUGGCGAGUAGCGGACGGGUGAGUAACGCGUAGGAAUCUGCCCUAAAGCGGGGGAUAACCCGGGGAAACUCGGGCUAAUACCGCAUAAUCACUACGGUGAAAAGGCUGCUUAGGCAGUCACUUUAGGAGGAGCCUGCGUCAGAUUAGCUUGUUGGUGGGGUAAAGGCCUACCAAGGCUGCGAUCUGUAACUGGUUUGAGAAGAUGAACAGUCACACUGGAACUGAGACACGGUCCAGACUCCUACGGGAGGCAGCAGUGGGGAAUAUUGGACAAUGGGCGCAAGCCUGAUCCAGCAAUACCGCGUGUGUGAAGAAGGCCUUCGGGUUGUAAAGCACUUUAGUUGGGGAGGAAGGUGUUUAGGUUAAUAGCCUAAGCAAUUGACGUUACCCAAAGAAUAAGCACCGGCUAACUCUGUG
rnacentral:rRNA from 1 species